GGGGAAUCUUGCGCAAUGCGCGAAAGCGUGACGCAGCAACGCCGCGUGGGGGAAGAAGGCUCUCGGGUCGUAAACCCCUUUCAGUUGGGACGAAGCUUCGCCGGCGAAUAGCCGGCCGGAGUGACGGUACCUUCACAAGAAGCCCCGGCUAACUACGUGCCAGCAGCCGCGGUAAUACGUAGGGGGCAAGCGUUGUCCGGAAUCAUUGGGCGUAAAGCGCGUGUAGGCGGCUUGAUAAGUCUGUUGUGAAAGGCCAGGGCUCAACCCUGGAAUGCCGAUGGAUACUGUCAAGCUCGAGUCCGGAAGAGGCGAGUGGAAUUCCUGGUGUAGCGGUGAAAUGCGCAGAUAUCAGGAGGAACACCAAUGGCGAAGGCAGCUCGCUGGGACGGUACUGACGCUGAGACGCGAAAGCGUGGGGAGCAAAC
rnacentral:rRNA from 1 species